rnacentral:misc_RNA from 1 species
AUAUCUAGAUGAUCUAUGAAGUUAGGAACUCAUCAAAUUGUUAAUUUAUUAAAUUGUUUGACAAGAUUCAGAUUCUCAGGACCAAGUAUGAACUUGCUACAGAAAAGUUGCCUAGACUUGAGACUGAAGUCAGUUUUCCAAGCCAUAGGAUACUUAACUGUUAAUGCAAGGCGGGUAUCAGAGCUUUGUCAAAGGAGAUCACUGUGUCAGAAAUGUUAUAGCUCUUUGUGCAGAAGAAGGACUCCAGUUUCAGAACUAUAUUCUCAGGAUUUAAAUAUACAUAGACGAAACCUGCAUGAACAUUCAUCAAAAUUGUUUACUGAUUCAUCCCUUCUUUCAUAUAAAGAUCACUCUGUUAUCAUUAAUAGAAGAGUUCAUUGCCAACAUACAUGGGUGAAAGAAUUGAACAAAGUUCAGAAUAGAUGGCUAAAUAACUACACAUAUCAUGGACAGUGUAGGAAAUAUUGUUCAGCAGAUUUGCUUAGUUGUGGAAAUAGUUCAGUAUGGCAGCACAUGGAGAGUCGAGGAAUGAAAAGCGGACGUGAUAAAGUAGGCCAGACUGUUGAUGAAAUUCUUAACCCUAUAGACAGGCUCCAGCAGUUUGUUGCUGUACCUCUACUGCCAGAGAAGGAUUACAUGUUUAGACCAUCGGAAGAGGAGGUAGCUGAAGCACAGCAGUUGUUUAUAUCUGGCCCCAAACAUGAUAUAAAGUUCCUGAAGUCUGCAGUGUUUGAGGAACAUCUGCCAGAUUAUGAACUUCCAGAGGUGGCAUUUAUUGGCAGAAGCAAUGUCGGAAAAUCAUCUUUGAUACAAAUGCUGCUAAGUCAUACGGAUGCCCUGGUCAGGGUCUCCAAAAAACCUGGCAGCACAAAGUUACUGAACUUUUUCCAAGUUGGGAAGAGGUUUACGCUAGUUGAUAUGCCUGGGUAUGGAUACAAUAUGCCAGAGUACUACGCAUCAUCUGUGGAAAAUUUCCUCUCAACAAGAAAAAAACUGAGUCGGACAUUCAUCUUGGUAGAUAGUACUGUAGGGGUAACAGAAACUGAUGUGAUUGGACUGAAUAUGCUGGAAGAAUUUCAUAUACCUUAUGUUUUUGAAGAUGACAUUCUUACUCAUUGAUGGUUAUGGGCCAAACACAGUAGAUGCAGAAAGAUUUGAAAUGAUUAACUCCAUGAAUAUAGAUUAUUGUAUUGUAAUGACAAAGAUUGAUAAAGCUAAACCAGGCAUCCUGUUGAAGAGCUUUAUGACAGUUUUAAAAUACAGAAAUAAAACACAUCACUGUUUUCCACAGCCUUUUCUUGUCAG